rnacentral:rRNA from 1 species
UUUGUGGGGUGCUCGAGUGGCGAACGGGUGAGUAACACGUGAGUAACCUGCCCUUGACUUUGGGAUAACUUCAGGAAACUGGGGCUAAUACCGGAUAGGAAUCCUUGCUGCAUGGUGGGGGUUGGAAAGCUUCGGCGGUUUUGGAUGGACUCGCGGCUUAUCAGCUUGUUGGUGGGGUAGUGGCUUACCAAGGCUUUGACGGGUAGCCGGCCUGAGAGGGCGACCGGCCACAUUGGGACUGAGAUACGGCCCAG